ensembl:lncRNA
GCAUGGAAAAGGGUAGGCUGGAACGGACUGGACCCUGAGUCAAUGGGACUGUUGGACCUAGAAGCAACCCAUCCCCUGGCAGUGCGCUACAGCCUUGCUACUCAAAAGUGUGGUCCAAAACCCACCUGCAGGGACAUCACGUGGGAGAUGGUUGAAAAAGCAGAAUCCAGGAGCCCACCCUAGGUCUACUUAACUGCAGGUAAAUCGUAAGAACAUUAAAGUUUGAGGAGCACCACUUCCCCAGCUAAGCCCCAAACGCAGUCCCAGUCACCUUAUCCUUCCUAGGCUUCCACUUGCCACCGAUUUGAUCACCAACAUCAGUAAUUCUGCAGACACCCAAACUAUUGACAAAGGUCUCUGUCUGUAAAAUGCAGACUCCUUAAAGCGGUUCCAUUGACUGUAUCCUUCAGAUGUCUUUCAUUAGAUUUUGUUUGGAACAGUAUUGUAAAUGCUUAUCUUUUUUUCAGAGGUUCAUCCUGUUUUGGCAAAAUCUUAUUGAGUAAAUCCAAGGAUUGAAGAAAUCUCUUCCUCUACCCUGUUCUUUACAACUGUAGAUGAUUCCUAAUGAGCAUUUUAACUAAAUUCUUUCAACAUAGCGUCAUUCUUGAGGAGUAGCUAUAGUUUCAGGUUGCAGCUUGUUUUCAUCUCCAAACACUGGAGAAAGAAACCUUCGUCAGAGAUGAAGCACCAAGAAAUAAAAUGAGACAAUUUUUCCAGGAGAGAUUCACAUUUCAGGUUCCUAAAACAUAUGUCCUCGAGUGUCCACCACGUGGGUCAGUUGCUGGGCUGGGGGUACCACACCUUCAGGAUCAGCCACGCCUACCUACAUUUGCAAGCCUGCCAGCAGGUUCUCCGAAAAGGGAUCUGAAACUGGACCAAGCUUUGUGUGGCCUUCCCUCCCUAUCCUCCCUCCAGCCCUCUCUUCUUUUUCGUGCCCUUUACUCAUCUUUCCUUCCUCCUGGUAAGAUGUAUUGAGGGCUAAUAAUGGGCCACACACCAUGCUGGGUACCAGAGAUGCUGCUGUCAAGAACUCAACAACACAGAUAUGACACAGGCCCACCUCAUAGAGUUUUCUGGCAAGGAAGACUAUGAAAUCAGUCAUCAAUUAAGUCAUUUCAAUGAUGAGUGCUAUUUAGGAGAAUUGCAGGGUGAUAGGAGAGUGUGUAAGAGGAAACUUGACCCUGGUCUGGGGGCUGCCUUGAGAAUAUGAUGUCUGAGCCGAGGACCAAAGGAUGAGUAGUGGUGAGCCAGGUACACAGAAAGGAAGGUAUCCUUUUCCCCAGUUGGCCUCUUUACCUGUCCCGCCAGCCAACAGAGAACCCCUGCUCCCACUUGGCAACUCUGCUAUUGACUCCACACUGACCUUGCCUGACGCCUGUUGGUGCUGACAGCUCCACCGCCCAGGGUUGGACACUUGCCUCCAUUCUUGUCUUCGUCUGACCUUGGCCUCAGCUAUUUUCUGCCCCACUUCACCCACAUUGGUACUGACAGCUCACAGGAUCUCCACCCAGCUGGAUGCCCACUCAGCAAGAUAUGUGAUGGCAUUGUUUUCCUCUUAAUUUAUUAGACAGCACUUCUUUCCAAACAGAAUUAAUUUUUGCUCUGAAGAUGAUAACUCAGGCUCGAGGAAGAGUUUAUAUUCUUGGUGUGGUCAGUGGUUGUGCAGGAAACCAUUUCUAACACAGCUGCAUCUUCUCGGUGCCAAACACCCCUCUAGGUCUCAGUGUCGUGGGGAGCAGAAGACUGUGCUUGCAGGUCAGGUCAGGUCGCAUCUUGCUGAUGCCCUCAUUCAGGCUGAUGGAGAAUGGGCUGAGUGAUAUGGCCCAGAUGCUUCUCUCCAGGUUAGACGAACAGCUGCUGGAUUCCUCUCUCACCCUGAAUAAAUUCAGUUGUUUUGCUAACUGGACUACAGCUUCUUUUUUCAGAACGUCACAG